rnacentral:tRNA from 1 species
GCCUAGUUAGCUUGGAAGGUAGCGCAUCUGCCUUGUAAGCGCUAGGUUGCGGGUUCGAAUUCCGCACGGGGUG